GGCCUUAUAGUCAAUAAUGACGUCAGACUGCAAUUCUGAAGGAGUAAUAUUACUAAGGCUU
rnacentral:tRNA from 1 species